GAAGAAGAAACGUACAUUACUCUAUAAGCCUAUAUAUAUAGUAUACAAUAAUUUGGUAGACGAAAUGGGUAGGUGGGUGGGGCUAAUGGGUAUUUGGUGGGGUGGGGGUGGGGGGGUAGGGCGUGUGGAGGCGGCUAAGAGUUGUGUAUCUGUAAUUAUUGAAGAAGAAAACAGAGUAUUUUUUGCUGUAACAAUAAUGGAAGAAAUGAAGAUGAAGAUGAUGACUAUGAUUUUGAGAAGAAAAAAAACAGAGUAAAGGACAGAAUAUACUUUAGAAUUUU
rnacentral:misc_RNA from 1 species